GGAAUAGUUGCUAUAGGUAGGGUAAGCCUCUUGCUACGAGGUAUUGAAAAAUUUGCUGGUUCGACUCCGGCCUAUUCCG
rnacentral:tRNA from 1 species